rnacentral:rRNA from 1 species
GCUAGCAAUGCACGCCUGUGGUUCAGCCGGCUAGUCCUGUGCGUCGUCGUGUGGCAGGAUCCGAACGGACCGUCCGCGGCGACGGCGCUGGGCGAGCUGUGGUGCACUCCAUGGGCAUGCGCGUCAGCGUCGGUUCUCGGCGAGUGAUGAGGUGCCGGGGGAAGGUGGCUCGCCUCUUCGGAGGGGAGUGUUAUAGACCCUGGUGCUGGGCUCGCUGUGGGACCGAGGAGAGAGAUGAUCGCUGCGGCACCUGCCUCUCGGGGCUAGCCAGCUGUUGUCAGAUGUGUGUCAAGCGUUGAGGACUGCACGCAGUGCUUGGCGUCUUGGCGUGGUCUGGUGGCGGUGUGGGCAUAGAGGUGCCUAGGACGCUGGCGUCCAAAUGGCCGUGCGCGACCCGUCUUGAAACACGGACCAAGGAGUCUAACAUGUGCGCGAGUCUUAGGGUGUGCAAGCCCUCGGGCGCAAUGAAAGUGAAAGUUCAGCGUUGGUUGAGCUUAGGUGAGAGCCGUUGCUGGCCUGACGCCACGGCGGCGCAUCAUCGGCCGGUCCAUCCUGCUCUCAGGAGGAUCCGAGCAAGAGCGUAUUUGUUGGGACCCGAAAGAUGGUGAACUAUGCCUGAAUAGGGUGAAGCCAGAGGAAACUCUGGUGGAGGCUCGUAGGGAUUCUAACGUGCAAAUUGAUCUCAAAAUUUGGGUAUAGGGGCGAAAGACUAAUCGAACCAUCUAGUAGCUGGUUCCCUCCGAAGUUUCCCUCAGGAUAGCUGGAACUCGUCAACACAGUUUUAUCAGGUAAAGCGAAUGAUUAGAGGUCUUGGGGAUGAAACAUCCUCAACCUAUUCUCAAACUUUAAAUCGGUAAGAAGCGUGACUUGCUUAAUUGAAGCCGCGCAAUCAAUGUGAGUUCCAAGUGGGCCAUUUUUGGUAAGCAGAACUGGCGAUGCGGGAUGAACCGAACGCUCGG